rnacentral:rRNA from 1 species
GCCCAAGAGAUCGGGAUAACACCUGGAAACAGAUGCUAAUACCGGAUAACAACAGAUGAUGCCUAUCAACUGUUUAAAAGAUGGUUCUGCUAUCACUCUUGGAUGGACCUGCGGUGCAUUAGCUAGUUGGUAGGGUAACGGCCUACCAAGGCGAUGAUGCAUAGCCGAGUUGAGAGACUGAUCGGCCACAUUGGGACUGAGACACGGCCCAAACUCCUACGGGAGGCAGCAGCU